rnacentral:rRNA from 1 species
UACGUAGGGUGCAAGCGUUAAUCGGAAUUACUGGGCGUAAAGCGUGCGCAGGCGGUUUUGUAAGUCUGUCGUGAAAUCCCCGGGCUCAACCUGGGAAUGGCGAUGGAGACUGCAAGGCUAGAGUUUGGCAGAGGGGGGGUAGAAUUCCACGUGUAGCAGUGAAAUGCGUAGAUAUGUGGAGGAACACCGAUGGCGAAGGCAGCCCCCUGGGUCAAAACUGACGCUCAUGCACGAAAGCGGUGGGGAGCAAACAGG